AGAGUUUGAUCAUGGCUCAGAACGUACGCUGGCGGCACGCCUAACACAUGCAAGUCGAACGAAGUAGCAAUACUUAGUGGCAGACGGGUGAGUAACAUGUGGGUAUCUGCCCUUUGGCCUGGAAUAACACGAGGAAACUUGUGCUAAUACCGGAUAAGUCUUUACGGAGAAAGCUUUAUGCACCAUUGGAUGAGCCCGCACUUGAUUAGUUUGUUGGUGGGGUAAUGGCCUACCAAGACUGUGAUCAAUAGCUGAUUUGAGAGGAUGAUCAGCCACAUUGGGACUGAGACACGGCCCAAACUCCUACGGGAGGCAGCAGUGGGGAAUCUUGCACAAUGGAGGAAACUCUGAUGCAGCGAUGCCGCGUGAGUGAAGAAGGCCCUUGGGUUGUAAAGCUCUUUCGUCGGGGAAGAAAAUGACUGUACCCGAAUAAGAAGGUCCGGCUAACUUCGUGCCAGCAGCCGCGGUAAUACGAAGGGACCUAGCGUAGUUCGGAAUUACUGGGCUUAAAGAGUUCGUAGGUGGUUGAAAAAGUUAGUGGUGAAAUCCCAGAGCUUAACUCUGGAACUGCCAUUAAAACUUUUCAGCUAGAGUAUGAUAGAGGAAAGCAGAAUUUCUAGUGUAGAGGUGAAAUUCGUAGAUAUUAGAAAGAAUACCAAUUGCGAAGGCAGCUUUCUGGAUCAUUACUGACACUGAGGAACGAAAGCAUGGGUAGCGAAGAGGAUUAGAUACCCUCGUAGUCCAUGCCGUAAACGAUGUGUGUUAGACGUUGGAAAUUUAUUUUCAGUGUCGCAGCGAAAGCGAUAAACACACCGCCUGGGGAGUACGACCGCAAGGUUAAAACUCAAAUGAAUUGACGGGGACCCGCACAAGUAGUGGAGCAUGUGGUUUAAUUCGAAGAUACGCGCAGAACCUUACCAACACUUGACAUGUUCGUCGCGACUCUAAGAGAUUAGAGUUUUCGGUUCGGCCGGACGAAACACAGGUGCUGCAUGGCUGUCGUCAGCUCGUGUCGUGAGAUGUUGGGUUAAGUCCCGCAACGAGCGCAACCCUCACUUUUAGUUGCCAUCAUUAAGUUGGGCACUCUGAAAGAACUGCCAGUGAUAAGCUGGAGGAAGGUGGGGAUGACGUCAAGUCCUCAUGGCCCUUACGUGUUGGGCUACACACGUGCUACAAUGGUAUCUACAACAGGAAGCAAGACUGCGAAGUUAAGCAAAUCCCUAAAAGAUACCUCAGUUCGGAUUGCACUCUGCAACUCGAGUGCAUGAAGCUGGAAUUACUAGUAAUCGUGGAUCAGCGUGCCACGGUGAAUGCGUUCCCGGGUCUUGUACACACCGCCCGUCACACCAUGGGAGUUGGUUCUACCUUAAGGCAAGGUUUCAAACCCUUGACCACGGUAUAGUCAGCGACUGGGGUGAAGUCGUAACAAGGUAACCGUA
rnacentral:rRNA from 1 species